rnacentral:rRNA from 1 species
UGCAAGUCGAGCGAGAGGAGUAGCAAUACUUUAGUAAAGCGGCGCACGGGUGAGUAACACGUGGAUAACCUGCCUCGAAGUGGGGAAUAACCCCGGGAAACCGGAGCUAAUACCGCAUAAUCUGACGAGAUCUGUGGAUUUUGUCAGCAAAGGAGCAAUUCGCUUUGAGGGGGGUCCGCGGCUGAUUAGCUAGUUGGUGAGGUAAUGGCUCACCAAGGCCACGAUCAGUAGCCGGUCUGAGAGGACGGUCGGCCACACUGGAACUGAGACACGGUCCAGACUCCUACGGGAGGCAGCAGUGGGGAAUUUUUCGCAAUGGGGGCAACCCUGACGAAGCAACGCCGCGUGGGUGAUGAAGUAUUUCGGUACGUAAAACCCUUUCGACGGGGACGAAACCGCAAGGUUGACGGUACCCGUAGAAGAAGCCCCGGCUAACUCCGUGCCAGCAGCCGCGGUAAUACGGGGGGGGCAAGCGUUGUUCGGAAUUACUGGGCGUAAAGGGCGCGUAGGCGGUUUGCUAAGUUGGAUGUGAAAACUCUGGGCUUAACCCAGAGCCUGCAUCCAAAACUGGCUGACUUGAGUACUGGAGGGGAAAGCGGAAUUCCUGGUGUAGCGGUGAAAUGCGUAGAUAUCAGGAGGAACACCGGUGGCGAAGGCGGCUUUCUGGACAGUAACUGACGCUGAGGCGCGAAAGCUAGGGGAGCAAACAGGAUUAGAUACCCUGGUAGUCCUAGCCCUAAACGAUGGAUACUUGGUGUGAGGGGGAUUGAAUCCCUUCGUGCCGUAGCUAACGCAAUAAGUAUCCCGCCUGGGGAGUACGGUCGCAAGGCUG